GACGAACGCUGGCGGCGCGCCUAACACAUGCAAGUCGAACGGAGAUGAUAAAAGCUUGCUUUGAUCAUCUUAGUGGUCGGACGGGUGAGUAACACGUGACCAACCUGCCUUUCAGAGGGGGAUAACGUUUGGAAACGAACGCUAAUACCGCAUAACGUAUACGGAUGGCAUCAACUGUAUACCAAAGGAGCAAAUCCGGCUGAAAGAUAGGGCUCGCGUCCGAUUAGCCUAGAUGGUGAGGUAA
rnacentral:rRNA from 1 species